CGCCGCGCACACAACACACAUUGCAUGAACCCUAGCCUCCAAUCCUCUGCCAGCACACCCUCACUCCUCCCUCGCUCCACUGCAGCCGCCACACUUCUCUCUCCUCGGUUCUCUCUUCCCCCUCAUUCACCACAGCCAUAGCCCCAGGAGCUUCGCAGUCCCUGUCAAGGAGAUCCAUGGCCUCCCAAGGUGCUCAUCUGCCCAGGUCGUGAGGAAGCCGGGGGAGGAGGAGACCUCGUCGCGAGGGAGCUUCGGGAGGAGGAGCUCAACCCAAGAGGAGAGGAUGCCAGCCAGGGAGUCGUCUUGGCUGGACGUGGUCCUUCGCGUCUUGAACCUAGCGCCGUAGGCGGCUCGUGCAAUGGCGCAGCGGAGGACGGCCUCAGCUGGUGGGUGACGGCGCCCGCAUCUGGUGCAUGACCUCGCAUCCUAGGUGCGUGCUGGAUUAGCUCGCGUCUUCACGGCCUUCAGGAUUUAAUAAGAUGUCUUGGGCUUCAUUGGAAAAAUGAUCUACCUGGAGCAAUGAUACAUGAACCAUGGUGUCCUACUGCACUUGAUCUGUGAGCUGUACGAGACCUUCCGCAACUUCAAAAUUCAUGUUUCAGAUUAUUUGCACCCCAGAAAGACAACUUCCACCAUGAAUGGACGCUUUCUAGAUGCUACAACGGAUGAGCUUAAUGUGAGUGAUGUUACAUGUAUUAUCUGCUGUGAAGAGACGACAACAGCAAAGAAGCUGCUUUGUGGGCACUUGUUUCAUGUGCAUUGUCUGAGGUCAUGGCGAGAGCGCCAAAAUACUUGCCCGACAUGUAGAUCUCCCAUUGCCCCCCGGACAAUGGACGUGCUCCAUCAGCGCGAUAGCAUGAAGCCCAACUGGGAGUUAGCUUGGUGAGCUUCGUUUUGUUGUUCAAUUUUUUGUUUUGAUUUUUUCUACUUAACCAUUUCUAUCAGUGAGGGCUACAAUUGGCAAAUAGUUUUUAUGUGAUUCCUAAUUUAGUGUGAGGAAAAAUAGCUGCAGGCGUCGGUGCUCCAGGUCCAGAAGGAGUAACAAGCAAGAACGUGAACAGGCGCCCAACAAAAUAGGCAAUCUUCAUUGAAAGUUGUAACAUAUUUACAACUGGAUUCAGUUUUAAAUCAGAAAUAGAAGUCGUUCAAGUUUCAGACAGUUAUAUGAUGUGGCAUGUGCAUGCUUUACAGUUACCUUGCAAGUGUCGUGAUGAUGCAUAGAUAUUUAUGUAUCUAUAUGAAUGUCAGACCCUGCGUGAUUGAUCUUAUUUUAUUCCUAUGUGAGAACUAGCUCUCCUUUAGUAAUGCAGUACUUUUAUACUAGACUAAAGUGGGAAUGGUUGGAUUGCGCUCUAUAGGACAGUGUGAUUUCUUCUCAUAGAAUGUUGUCAUCUAUAUCUUGCUGAAUGUACAUUACUAUAUUUUGCAUGAUAAUAUGUUUUUGCUAUGCCAGUCAUAUAAGUUAUCUAUUUUCUACAGGUUGUUACAUCCCCAAAGAGGAUUCCAGCAGCAAAACUUCAAGCUUGAAUGGAAGGUAGUCCAAGAGCUUUAUGAUGUUGAUUUCUUUACGAACAUUAUGGGAAGUGGACUUCAUUAUGAUUGGUGCCACAUUCCUAAUUUACUGCUCAUUUCGUAGUUGUACAAAAAAAUGCCUGGGCGUGCAAGUUUUAUGUGAAAAUGAUGCACCGGCGGUCUUUUGGAAGAAUGGGAAAAUCACAUGGAUGUCGGAUUGCAAGCACGUAGGGCAUUGCUUAUGUGGCGUACAGUUCAUAAAAACCUCCUGAAUUGAGUAUUUAUUUUUCAGUUCUAUGCUUUGUUAGACUACUAGAGCUAGAGGUGUUAAAAUCCUAGAUGAUGCUAGAUGGUGUAAUGGCAUUAGUGCUGAAUUAUAUUACAAAAUGUACAAUUUGGAUAAGUAUAACAAAUCUAUUAGAUUUGGUUUUUUUAUUCAUAUCAUCAGUCUACAAUCACCACUCUGCUCUGCCUUUCACUUUGCAGCCCUCGCUCAGGUCUUACUCUGUCUCGCCUAGCUGCCACUCUCUUCUAGAGUGGUUGUGACCCCACCAUGCGCAAGGUAUUCACCAAGAACCAGAAGGUGCUCUUUGGACACUAUGGGUAUGGCUACAUCCGUGGCUGGAGGAAAUUUGCGGCCAUUUCAAUUCAGCCCAUUUUACACCUACCGGUGCAUUAAUAAUAAUUAUGAUAUAUGCAUACUACAUUAUUAGUCUUCACCUUUUUUACAUACUACUCCCAUUUGAAUACACUUUUAGAAAAAGUAAACAUACCUAUGGUAGACACAUUCUUGCCUGUACACUUCUUUUUGAAACAUUUAAAAAACUCAGUUUACAGAGUAUGGGUUGGUUACUACGUUGGAGUAAUUAUGGACAUCUCAAAUUUAGCGCCUAGGAUUCCUAUUUUGACUGAUUUGAGUAUCUCUUGGUGAGUCCUCAAAUUACAAAUUUGAAAAUAACUCUCCUGAAAACGCUGGCAAAACUCUAUGUGGUCUAUAGAUAAAUAUUUGAUGAUCUUGCUUAAUAACUUGCUAGCGGGCAGAAAAUAUAUCAUGUUAGUACCAUUCAUGUAUCCGCUUUCACAGACCAUCUAACAUGACUUCUUAUUUAAUUUUGACGGGAUGCUAAGGGCUGCAAGAAAUAAAAUAGUAUGUUGCAUUUUCCCUACAGGUAAGGAAACAUGUACCUUAUUUCUGCAAAGAUGUGCUCUAUUUUUUUAUUCCAUGAGUAUUUGCAUUCCCUAUAGAAGCUGACUGGUUACAUUUAUGUUUAGUAUACACCAUCAUAAUCUCCCAAAUACUGCACUCAUUUAUACUUUCCCGCCCAUGUUUAAAAUAGCGUGUUUUAGUUCUGAUUACAGCCAUAUAGGUAUUAAUGUAUAAGAGUUUGCUUUCAGUUCUGGUUAAAUGAACUUGGAUGAUCAAUCAAAUUUCCAGUGAUGAUACUCUAGCGGAUCCUGACAGAAGUUGUGCAUGUAGUACAUGUUUUCAGUUCAGCAAGGUCUUUUUUAGUUAGAUCAAUUUUGAAGACUAACAUGUCAUAUGAAUGCUCCCAGCUUAGCAAAAUCCUUGGUCUUUCCAUUUUUGUAAGUUGAGGGAAUACUUUGCUACUUCAAAAUCUCUAGAUAAAAGUUGAAGAAUUCAUACGAUAGUCGAUUGGAAACAUAUAUCUAGCAAUUCAUUUUUUUCAUGCACACAAUGAGAUAAAUUGAUAUUACACAAGCCUUUACAAUUUAGUGCUUCUGUUAUUAGAAUCGGGACACUUGCUUUGUUACCGUACUUAAGAGUUGCCGAUUGCUUACUAUAGUAAUAGCAGGAAGGUUUGCAGUCAACUUAUUUGCAGUUGUAAUUAGUCGACUUGUGCUCCUUAAAUUGUUGUUCUUUGGUGACCAGUGAAUGGAAAAUUGACUCUCUUCCGUAUGUCUGAUCUAAUUGUUGGGAAAAUCUUCAGCACAUUGUAAUAUGAAAGGUUUUACCCUGCACAAAAAUAAAAAUAUGAAAGGUUUUGAUUUU